AAUAGCUCAGUGGUAGAGCAUUCGGCUGUUAACCGAAGGGUCGUAGGUUCGAGCCCUACUU
rnacentral:tRNA from 1 species